rnacentral:rRNA from 1 species
ACGGCUCAGUAACACGUGGCUAAUCUGCCCUUGGGAUAGGAACAUCCCCGGGAAACUGGGGCUAAUUCCCAAUAGGCGAAGAACUCUGGAAUGAGUCUUCACCAGAAAAGACGUUUACGUUAUGCUCGUAGGCGUCGCCCAAGGAUGAGGCCGCGACCGAUCAGGUUGUUGGUGAGGUAAUGGCUCACCAAGCCUUUUACCGGUGCGGGCCGUGAGAGCGGGAGCCCGGAGAUGGGCACUGAGACAAGGGCCCAGGCCCUACGGGGCGCAGCAGUCGCGAAAACUUUGCAAUACACGAAAGUGUGACAGGGCUAUCCCGAGUGCCAUCCGCUGAGGAAGGCUUUUACCCAGUCUAGAACGCUGGGGGAAUAAGGAGAGGGCAAGUCUGGUGUCAGCCGCCGCGGUAAUACCAGCUCUUCGAGUGGUGUGGAUGUUUAUUGGGCCUAAAGCAUCCGUAGCUGGCUGAGUUAGUCCCCUGUUAAAUCCACCGAAUUAAUCGUUGGAUUGCGGGGGAUACUGCUCGGCUAGGGGACGAGAGAGGCAGACGGUAUUUCCGGGGUAGGGGUGAAAUCCUAUAAUCCCGGGAAGACCACCAGUGGCGAAGGCUGUCUGCUAGAACGCGCCCGACGGUGAGGGAUGAAAGCUGGGGGAGCGAACCGGAUUAGAUACCCGGGUAGUCCCAGCUGUAAACGAUGCAGGCUAGGUGUUUGGACGGCCACGUGCCGUUCUAGUGCCGCAGGGAAGCUGUUAAGCCUGCCGCCUGGGGAGUACGAUCGCAAGAUUGAAACUUAAAGGAAUUGGCGGGGGAG